rnacentral:lncRNA from 1 species
AGGCAAAGAGGACUACAUGAGCAAAGACAUGGAGGAGAAAAACAGCAUGGCAGGAAGGGAACCGCAAGAGGGGAAAAAGUGAAGAGAAGAUGGGAUGAAGCCACAGAGCAAGGAGAGGCCUCGGUUGCUGUCCUGACCAGUCCCCUCACUUCACCAACAAGGCCGUGAAACCCAGAGAAGGGAUGUGACUUGAGAUCCAGCCAGAGCCAGAUCCAGAAUUGGGAGGGCGGGGGUGCUACAAUAUGAUCACAGAAUCAACACUUGACCCCUCCCAGCGACCUGGCAAAGUGGGCACUAACUCCAUUCUGCAGAGGUGGAAACUGAGGCCAGUGUGGGGAAUGGAAAUUGACUGGGCUAAGCUUAGAAGCCUGAACUCUGACCCCAAAGCCCUCUCUUGUACCUUUGACCCCCUUGUCUUGUCCUGUAGUUCUUAAGGUUACAGUGAGCCAGUUUUUCAUUUUGCCUUUCUCCAACAGAGGCACCUUGGAAAAUAGGGAUCCGGCUAGAGCAACCUGGAACACUUGAUGAUUGGGCUUAUUUAUAUUU